rnacentral:tRNA from 1 species
GGAGAAGGGCCCAUAGCUUAGAGGUAGAGCAUCUGCUUUGCAUGCAGAAGGUCCCAGUUUCAAUCCCUGGCAUCUUCA